rnacentral:tRNA from 1 species
GGGUGUAUAGCUCAGUUGUAGAGCAUUCGACUGCAGAUCGAGAGGUCCGUUGUUUAACUCCGCGCGCCCCCU